UACGAAGGGUGCAAGCGUUACUCGGAAUUACUGGGCGUAAAGCGUGCGUAGGUGGUUUGUUAAGUCUGAUGUGAAAGCCCUGGGCUCAACCUGGGAAUUGCAUUGGAUACUGGCAGGCUAGAGUGCGGUAGAGGAUGGCGGAAUUCCCGGUGUAGCAGUGAAAUGCGUAGAGAUCGGGAGGAACACCAGUGGCGAAGGCGGCCUCUGGACCAAUACUGACGCUCAUGCACGAAAGCGUGGGGAGCAAACAGG
rnacentral:rRNA from 1 species